rnacentral:rRNA from 1 species
UGCGCAGGCGGAAUAAUAAGUCAGUGGUGAAAUCUCUCGGCUCAACCGAGAAACUGCCAUUGAUACUGUUAUUCUUGAGUAUAGUUGUAGUGGGCGGAAUAUAGCAUGUAGCGGUGAAAUGCUUAGAUAUGCUAUAGAACACCGAUCGCGAAGGCAGCUCACUAAACUAUAACUGACGCUCAGGCACGAAAGCGUGGGGAGCAAACAGUAUUAGAUACCCUGGUAGUCC